GGAAUUUUCCGCAAUGGGCGAAAGCCUGACGGAGCAACGCCGCGUGAGGGAUGAAGGCCUCUGGGCUGUAAACCUCUUUUAUCAAGGAAGAAGAUCUGACGGUACUUGAUGAAUAAGCCACGGCUAAUUCCGUGCCAGCAGCCGCGGUAAUACGGGAGUGGCAAGCGUUAUCCGGAAUUAUUGGGCGUAAAGCGUCCGCAGGCGGUCUUUUAAGUCUGUCGUCAAAGCGUGGAGCUUAACUCCAUUUCUGCGAUGGAAACUGGGAGACUAGAGUGUGGUAGGGGCAGAGGGAAUUCCCGGUGUAGCGGUGAAAUGCGUAGAUAUCGGGAAGAACACCAGUGGCGAAGGCGCUCUGCUGGGCCAUAACUGACGCUCAUGGACGAAAGCCAGGGGAGCGAAAGGGAUUAGAUACCCCUGUAGUCCUGGCCGUAAACGAUGAACACUAGGUGUCGGGGGAAUCGACCCCCUCGGUGUCGUAGCCAACGCGUUAAGUGUUCCGCCUGGGGAGUACGCACGCAAGUGUGAAACUCAAAUGAAUUGACGGA
rnacentral:rRNA from 1 species